rnacentral:rRNA from 1 species
UACGUAGGGUGCGAGCGUUAAUCGGAAUUACUGGGCGUAAAGCGUGCGCAGGCGGUUUUGUAAGCCAGAUGUGAAAGCCCCGGGCUUAACCUGGGAAUGGCCUUUGUGACUGCCCGGCUAGAGUGUGUCAGAGGGGGGUAGAAUUCCACGUGUAGCAGUGAAAUGCGUAGAGAUGUGGAGGAAUACCGAUGGCGAAGGCAGCCCCCUGGGAUAACACUGACGCUCAUGCACGAAAGCGUGGGGAGCAAACAGG